rnacentral:rRNA from 1 species
GCUACGGGAGGCAGCAGUGAGGAAUAUUGGUCAAUGGGCGAGAUCCUGAACCAGCCAAGCCGCGUGAGGGAAGACGGCCCUAUGGGUUGUAAACCUCUUUUGUCGAAGAAUAAAACCCGGGACGUGUCCCGGAUUGCAUGUAUCCGAAGAAAAAGCAUCGGCUAACUCCGUGCCAGCAGCCGCGGUAAUACGGAGGAUGCGAGCGUUAUCCGGAUUUAUGGGGUUUAAAGGGUGCGUAGGCGGUCCGUUAAGUCAGAGGGUAAAUUGCGGGGAUAAACCUCGUCGAGCCGGUGAAACUGGCAGACUUGAGUUGGCGAGAGGUACGCGGAAUGCGCGGUGUAGCGGUGAAAUGCAUAGAUAUCGCGAAGAACUCCGAUUGCGAAGGCAGCGUACCGGAGCCAGACUGACGCUGAGGCACGAAAGCGUGGGGAUCGAACAGGAUUAGAUACCCGAGUAGUC